rnacentral:rRNA from 1 species
UACGUAGGGGGCAAGCGUUGUCCGGAAUCAUUGGGCGUAAAGCGCGCGUAGGCGGCCCGGUAAGUCCGCUGUAAAAGUCCAGGGCUCAACCCUGGAAUGCGGGUGGAUACUGCCGAGCUAGAGUCCGGAAGAGGCGAGUGGAAUUCCUGGUGUAGCGGUGGAAUGCGCAGAUAUCAGGAGGAACACCAAUGGCGAAGGCAGCUCGCUGGAACGGUACUGACGCUGAGGCGCGAAAGCGUGGGGAGCGAACAGG